rnacentral:rRNA from 1 species
GGCGCACGGGUGCGUAACGCGUAUACAAUCUACCUUUUACAGGGGGAUAGCCCAGAGAAAUUUGGAUUAAUACCCCAUGGCAUAUAUUUAUGGCAUCAUAUUUAUAUUAAAGAUUCAUCGGUAAGAGAUGAGUAUGCGUUCUAUUAGCUAGUUGGUGCGGUAACGGCGCACCAAGGCUACGAUAGAUAGGGGCCCUGAGAGGGGGAUCCCCCACACUGGUACUGAGACACGGACCAGACUCCUACGGGAGGCAGCAGUGAGGAAUAUUGGACAAUGGGCGAGAGCCUGAUCCAGCCAUGCCGCGUGCAGGAAGACUGCCCUAUGGGUUGUAAACUGCUUUUAUACGGGAAGAAACACCUCCACGCGUGGGGGCUUGACGGUACCGUAAGAAUAAGGAUCGGCUAACUCCGUGCCAGCAGCCGCGGUAAUACGGAGGAUCCAAGCGUUAUCCGGAAUCAUUGGGUUUAAAGGGUCCGUAGGUGGACGGUUAAGUCAGAGGUGAAAUCCUGCAGCUCAACUGUAGAAUUGCCUUUGAUACUGGUCGUCUUGAGUCAUUGUGAAGUGGUUGGAAUAUG